rnacentral:rRNA from 1 species
UGGGGAAUUUUGGACAAUGGGCGCAAGCCUGAUCCAGCCAUGCCGCGUUCAGGAUGAAGGCCUUCGGGUUGUAAACUGCUUUUGUACGGAACGAAAAGACUCUGGUUAAUACCUGGGGUCCAUUACGGUACCGUAAGAAUAAGCACCGGCUAACUACGUGCCAGCAGCCGCGGUAAUACGUAGGGUGCGAGCGUUAAUCGGAAUUACUGGGCGUAACGCGUGCGCAGGCGGUUAUAUAAGACAGAUGUGAAAUCCCCGGGCUCAACCUGGGACCUGCAUUUGUGACUGUAUAGCUAGAGUGCGGUAGAGGGGGAUGGAAUUCCGCGUGUAGCAGUGAAAUGCGUAGAUAUGCGGAGGAACACCGAUGGCGAAGGCAAUCCCCUGGACCUGUACUGACGCUCAUGCACGAAAGCGUGGGGAGCAAACA